rnacentral:ncRNA from 1 species
AAAUAAGACGAAGAUUUUGGUGUAUUUUGCUUAAAAGGGAAUCCAGUGAAAUUCUGGAACUGUCCUCGCAACUGUGAGUGAUAAGCGAAAUAAGCAUUAACCACUAUAUGGAAGAAUCCAUAUGGGAAGGGCUUAAAGUAGGAUGAAAUCACAAGUCAGUAGACCUGCCAAUGUCGAUGUUUCAAU